GAUGAACGCUAGCUACAGGCCUAACACAUGCAAGUCGAGGGGCAUCGGGAGGGAAGCUUGCUUCCCUUGCCGGCGACCGGCGCACGGGGUGAGUAACGCGUAUCGAACCUGCCCCCAUACCCGGGGAUAGCCCUUGCGAAAGUAAGAUUAAUACCCGAUGGUUUCCUUUAUCUCCUGAUAGAGGGAAUAAAGAAUUUCGGUAUGGGAUGGCGAUGCGUCCGAUUAGCUAAUUGGCGGGGUAACGGCCCACCAAGGCGACGAUCGGUAGGGGUUCUGAGAGGAAGGUCCCCCACAUUGGAACUGAGACACGGUCCAAACUCCUACGGGAGGCAGCAGUGAGGAAUAUUGGUCAAUGGGCGAAAGCCUGAACCAGCCAAGUAGCGUGCAGGAUGACGGCCCUAUGGGGUUNUAAACUGCUUUUAGGCGGGGGGUAAAUGCCGGA
rnacentral:rRNA from 1 species